GCCGCGGUAGUGUAGUGGUUAGCACAUUAGGUUUUGAUCCUGAGAACCCAGGUUCGAACCCUGGCCAUGGCU
rnacentral:tRNA from 1 species